ACUGCCAUGUGGACUCUAAACUAGGGCACUGAAUCGUUCUGCAUCUUCUGCCUUCUCCUUCUGUAUUUGCCAAUAGGUGGCAGUCUCCAUUCAUAUCUCACUUCUUGUGUCCACUUUCGGGAUCUUCACUUGCAGCGCUGGAGAUCUUUACUCCGGUAAUUUGUGCUGGAGAUAGAGAAAGGCUUCGUGGGUCAUUGUGGGUCUUGUGUUGGGUCCGAGAUGAGAGAUCGAGAAAGGCUUCUCCGUUCUGGUUCUUUGCUUCUUCUGUACUAGUCUAUAUUUUUUUUUUUAAGAUGCAAAUACAAUACAACAACAACUUGAUGAGGGUCUCUUCCGAUACGAUUCGAUGGUGGGGUUUUCGGGGGUCCACGGCAAACUCUAGCGUCUCUCAUUUGGCUCCUGAUUUUAGCUACUUGGCGUUUCAAUUUUAUUGAUUGGGAUGCCCUUAAUGAUUUCUAAGUUGAUUUAAUCAAGUUAUUGUGUUGUUGAUUGUGGAUUUUGUCCAAUGAUUUUAGCAGGUGAUGUCUUGAUCAAUGUUCAAUACUGAGAGAAUGAGUGGUAAAUCGAUGGAAAGAAGAAGAAAAAAGAGAUUGGAACUCAGAAUCGUAGAGUGAGCAUCGGACUAACAAGAAGAUAGUGACUUUCUAAUAUCCUUUGCUGGUAGGCCACCACUACUCACGUACAGUAGAAAGAAGAGGAAAUGUGACUGACUUAGUUCAAAUAUUUCUGUUAUAUUUUGAUUUUUAUUAUUUCAGUUGUUUAUUUCUACGUUCCUGAACCUGUUUAAUGUGUCCUAGCUUUUAGGAGGUAGUUAUUAUUUCCAAUAAACAUUAUCAAGUUUGUUGUGUGUCUGUUUGAGUCAGUCUGAAAUUCAGGGAAGUGGGUUGUUUUAUAGAGUCUUCAGUUAUUUUUUCAGCUUCUUUAUAUGGCUGCUCAUUUGUAGAAGGACAUUCAGAAUUAAUUAAAGUCCAUUUUCAAUC